GGGAGGGAGGGGAAAAGAAAGGAAUAAAACCUAGAAAACAUUCUUCAACUCUCCUGAAAUCAUGUUUUGGUUGCAGAAGGAGAAAUGUGCUGGCAUAGCCCCAUGUUCCAUCCCUGAGCAUACGUAUCUGACAGCCUGCCCAGCGGCCAGAGCAAAGUCCUUGCAGAAGCUUGCUGCAUUACAGCCCAAGCCAGCUCCUGAGAACGUCUCUUCAGGGAGGCAAGGAAAUUGGUGGCAGAGUGAAAGACCGGACAGAACAAAAAUUCGUAAACGUCAUAAACUUGAAGAUGAGGAAAAGGUUGGAUCUAAUUCCUGACAUCAGUAGCUGAAAACAGAAGAAUGCAUGCUGCUACUGAAAAGGAGUAUGUGGACAAAUUCGGUACGGGGACAAGUCAAAGCUACAGCUCUGACCCAAACUGCAGGCUCAAGAAGGCACACUGCCCUCACCUAGAAGAGCAGGGGGGAAGAAAGAUCUUCCCUCAGAAGUCAGCAGAGAGAACUCCAGAGAAAUACUCCUAUGAAUGUCAUAGCUCAUCUGAGAUCUGUGAGAUUUGUAAAUUAACACCAGUGUGAGUGACGGUGGGGCCUUGCUCGAGGCCCCACCCCAUCCAUCCUUACUUAUUUAAACCAAACCUUUCCACUUCAUUUUUCUAUCAAACUGAAAGCAACAGACACUUUGCCCUAUGAAAACUGAUGGGGACAAACUAUCUAUCUUUGCAGGUGUCCCUGCACACAGCCUUAUUAUAAAACCAAGGUGCACAUCUCUGAAAAUCUGAGAUCCAUUUUUUUUUAAAUGAAGGCAUUGCUGAAAAAGUAAAAGCAGUUUAAAAAAAAAGAGAAAAGCGUUGUUGCAAGAGAUUUGCUAAAUUAUUGAACCUAGUAGUCAGUUGAGAGGAUGUCCUUUAUGAAUGGAUAUGAGCUUCCUGGUAGACCCCCAGUCACCUCCAAAUUGCGCACACACUACAGUACAGGACCCCACAGAUCUCACACCUACAGGAGCUGAAGACGCUAAUGAGAACUAAUCACAUUCGCCAGAUCUUAAGAUUCUACUUCUUGAGCUGGUUAGGGAUCCGUGCACCCUGCUAGGCUUUCUUAACAUCCUACUAUAGUACUAGUGUGUACUAGGUUUCAAGUAUUAGCUACAGUCUAUUAGUGCUGAUUUUUUUUUUUCACGCUCAGAAAACCGCAAAGGGAUUUAACCAAAAGGAAGCAAAGGUUUUCUUUUUAUAAAUUCGAUUAGUCUUUUCCACUUUCUCUGCCUCGGGACAUUUCCUUUGGGAAGAAUGUUUAUACCCAAAGACCCCUUAGCGAGGCACUGUUGCAUGCGGGCGCAGUGAAUUUAAGUGCAAGACGCUGGAUGUGGAAGGAAAGUAAAAAUCGCAGGCACUUGCACAAGCCGCUAGCCAAGUCCGUUUCGGAGUGCCAUGUCGUUAUAGGAAUGGGCCCAUAAAGGAAGAAAGAUGAAGUUUGCCGCACGCAGGCAAUGCUGAGUCUUCGGCUAGGGUGAGAAAGCGGGUGCUUACCCUGCCAACCCUCCGCUAACGACCGCUGCACGUCCCACCCGAGCCGGCGCCCAGAGCCUGGUGCUCUCGCAGCGCCCGGCGCCCGUCUGGAGAUAGCCCUCGGCGGUGGGCGGCAGCCCCCCGCCCCCAAACUGCGCCUCUCUGCCGCCAGGACUUAGCAGACGGAGAGACAGCGCCAAGAGCACAUUAAGUAGACUCGGCCAGGGGCGGGAACCCCCACCGGAGCCUGCUCCCUCAGGCCUCAGGUUCGAAACUGCUCUAGCUUAGGAGGGUAUGUUAGAAUUUGAGCGACGGCACAUGAGCUAGGGAAAGAGUUCCUCAAACUCCCAGGGAAGCGUAGUCCCAGAGAUCCGGCAAUAACCAAGCCUAUCGAGGACUUUCCAAACUUGGACUUUAACUUUGUAUCAUUUUUCCUGCCCUCCUCUCCUCCCAGCACUCUAACCCCAAACCCUAGGAAACAGAAACAGACUAAGGACUAGAGUUCAAACCCUCUCCACCCUUCCUCCCCACCCGUCUCCUCCCCCCGCAAGUUUCCAGACUGGGAAAAUACAAAUAAACCCCCGAGUAGUUAACGCUUGCUGGCUCAUCCAGGCGCCCCAUUCCCAAACACAGGGCGAUCACCACCCGCUGCGUCCCACCCACCUCCAGGGAGGGAGGGUCUGGGAACCUGAUCUCCGGGCUCCGGCCGAAGGCUUCCCCAUCAAUAAUGUUGAUACCAUCGCACGCGGAGCCUCCCCAGCUCCCUGACACCGGGGCGCCUACAACAGCGAACCACGAAACGUGGGCCCAAGACAAUGGCCAGUAAUUGAUGUAUUGCCACCAACAAUAAAGACCAAUUCUCUCCCCGCCAUUCCAACCGUCCCCUUCCUCCCAUCCCCCUCUCCUCCACCUCCCUUCUCCCCUCUCCCGGCCACAGAGGGAAAGAAAACAAACAAGAAAUUUGUGGGGGAUGCGGCGCGCAGAGCAAGGCGCCUGCCUUUACGCCGUCGAGGACGCAGAGGAACGAAAAAAGUUAUCAAAGUUUGGAUUCUCCCCAAUUAAUUCG